GAUGAACGCUGGCGGCGUGCCUAAUACAUGUAAGUCGAGCGAACAGACGAGGAGCUUGCUCCUCUGACGUUAGCGGCGGACGGGUGAGUAACACGUGGAUACCCUACCUAUAAGACUGGGAUAACUUCGGGACACCGGAGCUAAUACCGGAUAAUCUAUUGAACCGCAUGGUUCAAUAGUGAAAGACGGUUUUGCGGUCACUUAUAGCUGGAUCCGCGCCGCAUUGGCUAGUUGGUAAGGUAACGGCUUUCCAAGGCUACGAUGCGUAGCCGACGUGAGAGAGGGGUCGCCCACCUGGGAACGGGAACAGGGUCAAGGGGCCUACGGGAGGGAGCGGUAUGGAAUCGUCCGCAGUGGGGGGAAGCAUGACGGAGCAAGGCGACGCGAGUGAUGACAGUGUUCGGAGCGUAAAACUGUGUUAUGAGGGAAGAACAGAUGUGUAAGUAGCUGUGCACGGCGUGACGGUACCUAAUCAGAAAGCCACGGCUAACUACGUG
rnacentral:rRNA from 1 species